GUGAGGAAUAUUGCGCAAUGGAGGCAACUCUGACGCAGCCAUGCCGCGUGCAGGAAGAAGGCGCUACGCGUUGUAAACUGCUUUUAACCGGGAAGAAACCCCAGGACGUGUCCUGGGUUGACGGUACCGGAGGAAUAAGCACCGGCUAACUUCGUGCCAGCAGCCGCGGUAAUACGAAGGGUGCAAGCGUUAUCCGGAUUCAGUGGGUUUAAAGGGUGCGUAGGCGGAGCGUUAAGUCAGUGGUGAAAUCCUGCAGCUUAACUGUAGACUUGCCAUUGAUACUGGCGCUCUUGAGUGCGCUUGAAGUGGGCGGAAUGUGCCGUGUAGCGGUGAAAUGCUUAGAUAUGGCACAGAACACCAAUUGCGAAGGCAGCUCACUAAGGCGAUACUGACGCUGAGGCACGAAAGCGUGGGGAUCGAACAGGAUUAGAAACCCCUGUAGUCC
rnacentral:rRNA from 1 species